AUACGGAGGGUCCAAGCGUUAUCCGGAAUCAUUGGGUUUAAAGGGUUCGUAGGCGGGUCAAUAAGUCAGAGGUGAAAUCUUGCAGCUUAACUGUAAAAUUGCCUUUGAAACUGUUGACCUUGAAUUACUGUGAAGUGGUUAGAAUAUGUAGUGUAGCGGUGAAAUGCUUAGAGAUUACAUAGAAUACCGAUUGCGAAGGCAGAUCACUAACAGUAUAUUGACGCUGAUGAACGAAAGCGUGGGUAGCGAACGGGAUUAGAAACCCUUGUAGUCC
rnacentral:rRNA from 1 species